rnacentral:lncRNA from 1 species
CUCGAUACCGAGUUCGUCACAAAAGUCCGCAAAGAGAUUGUGAUCAAACUCUCCCCCAUGAGUAUCCUUUAUGAGUAUCCUAGUAGUUAUUCCUCUAAGCUUGUAAAAUAAAUAAAGUUUGUACGCUUAGGUGUUGAUCGUUUUUACUUCUAAUUGAAGUGACGGUUGUUUCCUUUUCGUUUUGAACACGCUUAAGAAAAUAUUUA